rnacentral:rRNA from 1 species
UACGUAGGGGGCAAGCGUUGUCCGGAAUCAUUGGGCGUAAAGAGCGUGUAGGCGGCCUGAUAAGUCUGCUGUGAAAGUCAAGGGCUCAACCCUUGAAUGCCGGCCGAUACUGUCAGGCUAGAGUCCGGAAGAGGCGAGUGGAAUUCCUGGUGUAGCGGUGAAAUGCGCAGAUAUCAGGAGGAACACCUAUGGCGAAGGCAGCUCGCUGGGACGGUACUGACGCUGAGACGCGAAAGCGUGGGGAGCGAACAGG